CCUCCUCUCAUUCGUGUUCGAAGCCUCAAUCCAAUCCCCAGAUUUUCGUACCAGGCUCUGAAAAUCGAAAGCUCUGCAGGUUCUAUCCUAUGAUAAACUCCUUGAGCAACUUGAUCUUUCAAAUGGCAUAAUCAAAGGGAAGUUAGAUCAUUUGAAAAGAUCUGUUGAGGUUCAGUUUGCAGCUGGGAGGGAUCUGAAACCUGGACAGCUUGGGAAUAUAAUAGAGACCUUAACGGAUUGGUUUGUAUCCUAUUUAGUCAUUGGUCCUAUGUGUUAGAUUCGAUCUUCCAAAAAACUGUCUUGCAUCUCUCUCUCUCUCUCUCUGUAUUGAUGAAACUUGGGUUGUUGGACUACAUCUAUUCCAAAUGGUGCCUUUUCUUGAUUCUAACUGCUUACAAAACGUAUGAUUUUAAAGACAGUGUCCCUUUAUUUUUUGUAUGAUUCUAUCGGUUCUUCGAAAUCCAGAUUGGAAUUUUCCUAAACCACCACCGGGAAAAUAUUAUGUGGUAGAUUCGGGAUACCCUCAAAUGAGUGGGUUUUUGGGACCUUACAAAGGUCCAAGACAACAUUUUCAAGAAUAUCGUAGGCAAGAACCAAGAAAUGAAAAGGAGGUAUUUAACCAAGCACACUCUUCUCUUAGAAGCGUUAUAGAACGCACAUUUGGAGUUUGGAAAAAAAAGUGGAAGAUUUUAAAGGACAUGCCACCAUGACACUUCAUAAUUAUAGAUUGUCAUUGCCACCAUGACACUUCAUAAUUAUAUACGGAGACAUGCACAUCGUGAUAGGCAUUUUGUUCACAGUGAAGAAAGAGAAGGUGAUGGGUCAAGUCAUGGGAUAGAGAUGGAUGAUGAUGUAGAAGAAGAAUAUCAUGGUCAUGGUGCACAAGAAAUGGAAAUGAUAAGAAAUAGCAUUACUCAAAGUUUGAUGAGUGCACGAACUUGAACAUUUGAAUGUGUUAUGAAAUUUUUUGUGG